GACGAACGCUGGCGGCAUGCCUAAUACAUGCAAGUCGAGCGAACAGAUGAAGUGCUUGCACUUCUGACGUUAGCGGCGAACGGGUGAGUAACACGUAAGGAAUCUACCUGUAAGCGGGGGAUAACAUUCGGAAACGGGUGCUAAUACCGCAUAAUAUCUUCUUCCGCAUGGAAGAAGAUUGAAAGACGGCUCUGCUGUCACUUAUAGAUGACCUUGCGGUGCAUUAGUUAGUUGGUGGGGUAACGGCCUACCAAGACGAUGAUGCAUAGCCGACCUGAGAGGGUGAUCGGCCACAUUGGGACUGAGACACGGCCCAAACUCCUACGGGAGGCAGCAGUAGGGAAUCUUCCGCAAUGGGCGAAAGCCUGAUGGAGCAAUGCCGCGUGAGUGAAGAAGGCCUUCGGGUCGUAAAACUCUGUUAUAAGAGAAGAACAAAUUGUAGAGUAACUGCUACAGUCUUGACGGUAUCUUAUCAGAAAGCCACGGCUAACUACGUGCCAGCCGCCGCGGUAA
rnacentral:rRNA from 1 species